CUAUACAUGCAGUCGAGCGAACUGAUUAGAAGCUUGCUUCUAUGACGUUAGCGGCGGACGGGUGAGUAACACGUGGGCAACCUGCCUGUAAGACUGGGAUAACUCCGGGAAACCGGAGCUAAUACCGGAUAACAUUUUUUCUUGCAUAAGAGAAAAUUGAAAGAUGGUUUCGGCUAUCACUUACAGAUGGGCCCGCGGUGCAUUAGCUAGUUGGUGAGGUAACGGCUCACCAAGGCAACGAUGCAUAGCCGACCUGAGAGGGUGAUCGGCCACACUGGGACUGAGACACGGCCCAGACUCCUACGGGAGGCAGCAGUAGGGAAUCUUCCGCAAUGGACGAAAGUCUGACGGAGCAACGCCGCGUGAGUGAUGAAGGCUUUCGGGUCGUAAAACUCUGUUGUUAGGGAAGAACAAGUACAAGAGUAACUGCUUGUACCUUGACGGUACCUAACCAGAAAGCCACGGCUAACUACGUGCCAGCAGCCGCGGUAAUACGUAGGUGGCAAGCGUUAUCCGGAAUUAUUGGGCGUAAAGCGCGCGCAGGCGGUUUCUUAAGUCUGAUGUGAAAGCCCACGGCUCAACCGUGGAGGGUCAUUGGAAACUGGGGAACUUGAGUGCAGAAGAGAAAAGCGGAAUUCCACGUGUAGCGGUGAAAUGCGUAGAGAUGUGGAGGAACACCAGUGGCGAAGGCGGCUUUUUGGUCUGUAACUGACGCUGAGGCGCGAAAGCGUGGGGAGCAAACAGGAUUAGAUACCCUGGUAGUCCACGCCGUACACGAUGAGUGCUAAGUGUUAGAGGGUUUCCGCCCUUUAGUGCUGCAGCUAACGCAUUAAGCACUCCGCCUGGGGAGUACGGUCGCAAGACUGAAACUCAAAGGAAUUGACGGGGGCCCGCACAAGCGGUGGAGCAUGUGGUUUAAAUUCGAAGCGACGCGAAGAACCUUACCAGGUCUUGACAUCCUCUGACAACUCUAGAGAUAGAGCGUUCCCCCUUCGGGGG
rnacentral:rRNA from 1 species